UACGAAGGGAGCUAGCGUUGUUCGGAAUCACUGGGCGUAAAGCGCACGUAGGCGGCUGUGUCAGUCAGGGGUGAAAUCCCGGAGCUCAACUUCGGAACUGCCUUUGAUACAGCACGUCUUGAGUCCGGAAGAGGUGGGUGGAAUUCCUAGUGUAGAGGUGAAAUUCGUAGAUAUUAGGAAGAACACCGGUGGCGAAGGCGGCCCACUGGUCCGGUACUGACGCUGAGGUGCGAAAGCGUGGGGAGCAAACAGG
rnacentral:rRNA from 1 species